rnacentral:rRNA from 1 species
GUUGAACGCUGGCGGCAGGCCUAACACAUGCAAGUCGAACGAGUGGCGGACGGGUGAGUAAUGUAUGGGAAACUGCCCGAUGGAGGGUGAGAACUACUGGAAACGGUAGCUAAUACCGCAUACCAUCGGAUGGGCCCAGAUGGGAUGAGCUAGUAGGUGUGGUCAUGGCUCAGCUAGGCGACGAGCCCUAGCUGGUCUGAGAGGAUGACCAGCCACACUGGAACUGAGACAGGGUCCAGAAUCCUACGGGGGGCAGCAGUGGGGAAUAUUGCACAAUGGGGGAAACCCUGAUGCAGAAACGCCGCGUGCGGGAUGAUGGCUUGCUGGUUGUAAACCGCUUUUAGCCAUGACGCGGUAGGGGCAGAAGAAGCACCGGCUAACUACGUGCCAGCAGCAGCGGUAAUUC